AAUACUGAACCCUCGUGAUGACGUACAUCCUGAACGCGGUACCCGCGGUGCGCGUCCUCUGCGGGUCGCGGAUUGUUUUGAGAUCUUUCUCUCCCUGCGGCAGGAUUUUGCAGUAGAGCGGGAGGUGGCAUCAGCAGCGAGCAGGCCCUGACACCUGGCCGCGAACCCGGGCCCGUGCACCACGGAGAUCCGCGCCGACACAAGAGCUGGAGACUUCCUCUUCAUCCCGGCAGACUCCGGCUUCAUAACAAGACCAGAGCUGGAGACCUUGCUCCUCACCCCGGCAGACUCCGGCGACAUAACACGACCAGAGUUGGAGACCUUUCUCCUCACCCCGGUAGACUCCGGCUACAUAACGCGAUCAGGUGAACGCGGUCUUGUCGCGGGCUGCAGUUUCGUGAUCGCGAGGGUCUGCAGUUUGGCGCAGUCUUCUGCACCACUGGCCCGACCUGGAAGCUGACGGGACGUUGGUGCUGGGACCAUGCGGGACUGAACAGCACGCCCGUAGUGAUCGUCAACUCAGAGCGAUGACUUGCCGGGCGUGCCGACUCGCGCACCGCCGCGAGGGCCGGCCGGCCGGUGCAGACUCGUAGCCGUGAGCGUCUAUCCGUCCGCAGACUCGUGACUCCCAGCGAUGGACGCGGUGGACUGAUGCUGCGCGGCCCGUGGACCCGAGCUGUGGGACCCGGGGUGGAGCUGGACUGUGGGACCUAAGGGGACCUGGAUUGUGGGGCCUGAGGGAGACCCGAACUCUUUGGCAUGAGGGAGACCUGGACGGUGGGGCCUGAGGGAGACCCGAACUGGGGCAUGAGGGAGACCUGCACUGAGCGACAUGACGGGUACCCGCACGAUUAUACAACUGGUGUGGGGCCUGACGGGGACCCGGACUGUGGGACCUGACGGGGACUGGGACUCUGGGAUCUAGCGGGGACCCGGACUGCGGGACCUGAGGGGACCCGGACUGUGGGGUAUGAGGGGGGAUCCGGACUGAGCGACAUGACGGGUACCCGCACGAUUAUACUACAACUGGUGUGGGGCCUGACGGGGACCCGGACCGCGGGACCUGACGGGGACCCGGACGGUGAGACCUGACGGGACCCUGACUGGGUCCUGACGGGGAUCCGGGCCGUGGGACCUGAGUUGAAUGGUGUUGGCAGCCGCCCGUACACGUCGCAGUGGAGCGUUUCUGUCUGCCAACAGGAAACACUACGGUCGGCAGGGUGGAAGGCUCACUUUUUUGCGGUUUGGCGGUGCCGGGUGUCGUUACCCUUUCAUAUUUUUACACUGGUGAAGGGUGGCACGCCAUCCUGGCAGCCGCUGGACCAAAACGAUCGGGCGGCGGACGCCGGGGAAGCCGGCGUCCCCCCCCCCCCCCCCCCCACCGGCACUGACGCGGCAAAUACCGGCGCGCUCGACAUACCAGACUGCGUUGGUGUAACGGAUCACGGCCAGUGUUACUUGUUGGGACUCCGGUGCUCAGUCGGCGCGAGGCUGGUGCUGGCGCGGACACGCGGGAAGGCGGCUUUUUCACACCGACGGGCGGUAGCCUUCCCGUGUCAAAACGUCUUGCUUCCACUUGCCAGAACGUAUUGCCUUCACGUGCCAAAACGUAUUGCCUUCACGUGCCAAAGCGUCUUGCCUCCACGUGCCAAAACGUCCUCAGCCCGCCCCGAGUGGUCGCCUUUAUUGGGCAGCGAACAGCGUAGCCAGCCAUGCAUUGCGUGGCUUGCAGCGUCGUUCGUGCGGAUGUGUCCGGUGCUCAGACCGGCGCGCCGCGGUGACUGGCACGGCCUCUCCCCGUACGGCAGCGCGCGGUGAACCAUACGGCCGAAGGCCGACGCCGGCCACUUAUGCGGGCGCCCACUUUGUUAUAACUCUUCGGCGAAUAUACGUCCAGACUGAC